rnacentral:misc_RNA from 1 species
CUUCACCGACGCUUUUGAU